rnacentral:rRNA from 1 species
UACAGAGGGGGCAAGCGUUGUUCGGAAUUACUGGGCGUAAAGGGCGCGUAGGCGGCCUGUUAAGUCGAACGUGAAAUCCCCGGGCUCAACCCGGGAACUGCGUCCGAUACUGGCAGGCUUGAAUCCGGGAGAGGGAUGCGGAAUUCCAGGUGUAGCGGUGAAAUGCGUAGAUAUCUGGAGGAACACCGGUGGCGAAGGCGGCGUCCUGGACCAACACUGACACUGAUGAGCGAAAGCCAGGGGAGCAAACGGG